rnacentral:rRNA from 1 species
AAAUGCCUCGCCAUCUAAUUAGUGGCGCGCAUGAAUGGAUUAACGAGAUUCCCACUGUCCCUAUCUACUAUCUAGCGAAACCGCAGCCAAGGGAACGGACUUGGGAAGAUCAGCGGGGAAAGAAGACCCUGUUGAGCUUGACUCUAGUCUCCUUUUGUAGAGGAGCAUUUCUGGCGUAGAAUAGGGAGGAGGCUUCGGCCGACAGUGAAAUACUCCUACGGAAAUCGCUCCUCUGCUUACACGGUUAGGCGAAAUUAGGACCUUCGGGGCCUAUUUCUUGAAUCAAAUGGGUGGGCUUUUCUCACCCAUGAUUCGCUCCGUGGACAUUGCGAGGUGGGGAGUU